CCUGAACGCUGGCGGCGUGGCUAAGACAUGCAAGCCGCACGGGGCCCGCAAGGGUCCAGUGGCGGACGGGUGAGUAAUGAAUCGCUAAUGUACCCCGAAGUCUGGGAUAGCCGGUCGAAAGGCCGGGUAAUACCAGAUGAGACCACGAGAGGGCAUCCUCUAGUGCUCAAAGGGUCACCGCUUUGGGCGCAGGCGAUUUCGUAUCAGCUAGUUGGUGAGGUAACGGCUCACCAAGGCGACGACGCGUAGCCGGGCUGAGAGGUCGGCCGGCCACAUUGGGACUGAGACACUGCCCAGACUCCUACGGGGGCGU
rnacentral:rRNA from 1 species